rnacentral:rRNA from 1 species
ACAUCCAGAGAACUUAGCAGAGAUGCUUUGGUGCCUUCGGGAACUCUGAGACAGGUGCUGCAUGGCUGUCGUCAGCUCGUGUUGUGAAAUGUUGGGUUAAGUCCCGNAACGAGCGCAACCCUUAUCCUUUGUUGCCAGCGGCUCGGCCGGGAACUCAAAGGAGACUGCCGGUGAUAAACCGGAGGAAGGUGGGGAUGACGUCAAGUCAUCAUGGCCCUUACGGCCAGGGCUACACACGUGCUACAAUGGCGCAUACAAAGAGAAGCGACCUCGCGAGAGCAAGCGGACCUCAUAAAGUGCGUCGUAGUCCGGAUUGGAGUCUGCAACUCGACUCCAUGAAGUCGGAAUCGCUAGUAAUCGUAGAUCAGAAUGCUACGGUGAAUACGUUCCCGGGCCUUGUACACACCGCCCGUCACACCAUGGGAGUGGGUUGCAAAAGAAGUAGGUAGCUUAACCUCCGGGAGGGCGCUUACCACUUUGUGAUUCAUGACUGGGGUGAAGUCGUAACAAGGUAGGCGUAGACGU